rnacentral:rRNA from 1 species
GAUGAACGCUGGCGGCGUGCCUCAAACAUGCAAGUCGAGCGGGGCUAUGUAAUAUCGACAAGGUAGAACAUAGCCUAGCGGCGAACGGGUGAGUAACACGUGGGUAACCUGCCUGGAAGACAGGGAUAACGAUUCGAAAGGGUCGCUAAUACCUGAUAAUAUCCUUUCAUCGCAUGGUGAUAGGAAGAAAGGGGAAACCCGCUUUCAGAUGGGCCCGCGUCCCAUCAGCUAGUUGGUAAGGUAAAGGCUUACCAAGGCGACGACGGGUAGCCGGUCUGAGAGGAUGUACGGCCACACUGGGACUGAGAUACGGCCCAGACUCCUACGGGAGGCAGCAGUUGGGAAUCUUAGGCAAUGGACGAAAGUCUGACCUAGCGACGCCGCGUGAGGGAAGAAGGCCUUCGGGUUGUAAACCUCUGUCAUGGGGGAAGAAGUAAGUGACGGUACCCCAAGAGGAAGCCCCUGCUAACUACGUG